rnacentral:lncRNA from 1 species
CUCCUAUCGGGACAUAAAGUGUGUAUUCUAAAUACACUUUGUUUAUGUUCCACGCUGGUUUAAUUUGAACGAAGGUGUAAACCUGAAAUCCGCUCGGCUGUUUGACCGUCUGCUUGUGUUGUUCCCGUUUCAGAAGUACAGGCACCACGAUGAGGACUCGUCGCCGCAGGAUCAGAGCUCCCCCCAGCUGACGGAGGAGGGGGGGGGCCAGAGCUGGUCCAGGUAGCGGAGAAAAACCUUUCGCAGAUCGAGAAUGUGCACGGAUACGUCACGCACGCCCACAUCUCGCCCAUGAAGCAGGCAGAGGCCACCCCGCCCUCCUCUCCCAUAAUCCCUGUGAUCCCAGUCUCGCCAAUCGCAGCCGAGACCACCAUCAUCCCUCCGACGUCACAGGUUUCUUUUUGUUUUGCUUUUUAUUUUCCUCCACUUCUCUGUCCUCCAUCUUUAGCUUUACCUCCCGGUGUGUUUAUUUGUUUGGCUGCUG